GAUUUGAGGUGACAGAAAAGGCAUGUUGUUCUACUGGAACAUUUGAGAUGAGCUACUUAUGCAGUGACAAGAAUCCACUUACAUGCAAAGAUGCAAGCAAAUAUGUGUUUUGGGAUGCCUUUCAUCCCUCUGAGAAGACAAACCGUAUAGCUGCAAAUUAUUUGAUCCCUAAACUUUUAGCAGCUUUUAGAUAA